AUCACGUUGAAACACCGCUUCCCGUAAGAUCCCCGAAGUUAAAACCACGUCGAGCCAGGUCGGUACCGAAAUGGGUGACCAAUUGAGAAUAUGAGGUGCUGUAAG